UACAGAGGUCCCAAGCGUUUGUUCGGAUUCACUGGGCUUAAAGGGUGCGUAGGCGGCGCGGAAAGUUGGGUGUGAAAUCCCUCGGCUCAACCGAGGAACUGCGCCCAAAACUGCCGUGCUCGAGGGAGAUAGAGGUGAGCGGAACUUAGGGUGGAGCGGUGAAAUGCGUUGAUAUCCUAAGGAACACCGGUGGCGAAAGCGGCUCACUGGAUCUCUUCUGACGCUGAGGCACGAAAGCUAGGGUAGCGAACGGG
rnacentral:rRNA from 1 species